UACGUAGGGUGCAAGCGUUAAUCGGAAUUACUGGGCGUAAAGCGUGCGCAGGCGGCUUUGCAAGACAGAUGUGAAAUCCCCGGGCUUAACCUGGGAACUGCAUUUGUGACUGCAUGGCUGGAGUGCGGCAGAGGGGGAUGGAAUUCCGCGUGUAGCAGUGAAAUGCGUAGAUAUGCGGAGGAACACCGAUGGCGAAGGCAAUCCCCUGGGCCUGUACUGACGCUGAGGCACGAAAGCGUGGGGAGCAAACAGG
rnacentral:rRNA from 1 species